GCCGGGUGUGGUGGCGGACGCCUGUAAUCCCAGCUGCUCAGGAGGCUGAGGCAGGAGAAUCGCUUGAACCCGGGAGGCGGAGGGUUGCAGUGAGCCAAUAUCUUGCCAUUGCACUCCAGCCUGGGCGACAGAGCGAGACUCUGUCUCAA
rfam:Pan troglodytes isolate Yerkes chimp pedigree #C0471 (Clint) chromosome 9, whole genome shotgun sequence.